GACGAACGCUGGCGGCGUGCUUAACACAUGCAAGUCGAACGGAAAGGCCCUGCUUUUGUGGGGUGCUCGAGUGGCGAACGGGUGAGUAACACGUGAGUAACCUGCCCUUGACUUUGGGAUAACUUCAGGAAACUGGGGCUAAUACCGGAUAGGAGCUCCUGCUGCAUGGUGGGGGUUGGAAAGUUUCGGCGGUUGGGGAUGGACUCGCGGGGUAUCAGCUUGUUGGUGGGGUAGUGGCUUACCAAGGCUUUGACGGGUAGCCGGCCUGAGAGGGUGACCGGCCACAUUGGGACUGAGAUACGGCCCAGACUCCUACGGGAGGCAGCAGUGGGGAAUAUUGCACAAUGGGCGGAAGCCUGAUGCAGCAACGCCGCGUGCGGGAUGACGGCCUUCGGGUUGUAAACCGCUUUCGCCUGUGACGAAGCGUGAGUGACGGUAAUGGGUAAAGAAGCACCGGCUAACUACGUG
rnacentral:rRNA from 1 species